UCUCAACGACCGUUUUGCUCUAUGAAUACAACCUCAAUUUCUUUUUCAUAAUCAUCAUCGUCAUCUUCGUGUAAAAAAUUAGAAGCUAACUUUGAAAUCUCUUAAACAACUUUGAUCGAAAAGAACAACGAAUUUUUCCAAGGCAACCCAAUGGCGUGCUACCAUUAAUAACUUCCCAGUUUUACAAAUACAUCCUUUUUAUUCCAAGAUUGUUCAAACCUAUAUAUUUAUCCCUUCGCAUACACUGACCGAUCAAAGCAUUCAUUCUCUUCCGUGGUAAAAACGAAUUUGGGUGUGCCUUUUUGCACUUAAAGAUGAAGAUGGAACUUGCUCCAACAAUUGAGUUAGAGAUGCGGAGACAGAAAAGAAGUGAUGCCGCAGAAGUG
rnacentral:lncRNA from 1 species